CACUUGCUUGAGGAAAGUAAAGGCUUCAGAUGUUUCAUUAUAAAGUUGAAUGUGAGCCAGAAGGGAUAUGAUGGUUUUUGUUUCACUCUGACUAAAAGUAGGUGUGUUUUAGAAGGACUUGUAUGUAAGAAGCAGCAACCCUGAAAGAUCGCAGAACUCGCUCUCAUCAUCUCUGGAGAACAUCUGGAGAUUAGCAGAACCUGCAGAUCCUGAACUACAGAGGACAGGACAGUCAACGAAGAUUGACACCAAGAACCAGCUCUGAGGAUCAUGAUGGAUCUGGUUCUGACCCUCCGCCUCCUCGUUGCUGGAGUUGUUUUGGUUUUGUUGCUUUUGUUGCUCUGGCAGAAAAACAUCCCUGACAGAUUUACUCACAGAAGGAAAGCCAGUUUCAGAUGUAGUGAUGCCAGCAUUAGAAGAUCCAAAGAUGUCAGGAGCAUUAACACGAACCGCCACUUCGGUUUUCAUUUUGACAAACUCACUGGAAACGACUCUGUUGGUUCUGGUUGAUCUCACUCUGUGGCUGCAGUGGAUCAACAUCCUCCCACUGACAGAGUUAAUGAGGUUAGCUACACAGUUUUAUCAGUUAGCUACACAGUUUUAUCAGUUAGCUACACAGUUUUAUCAGUUAGCUACACAGUUUUAUCAGUUAGCUACACAGUUUUAUCAGUUAGCUACACAGUUUUAUCAGUUAGCUACACAGUUUUAUCAGUUAGUUGAAGGUAAAAGUGAAAAUAUGCACCAAGAACAGAACCAGUACAAUGAUGCAAUGAUGUCACAGUUCAGUAUGAAACCAGAAAGAGGAAUUUGGAAAUGAGGUCAGAUUUGUUUCCAACCAGUUUAGUUUGCACUAUAAUAUUCUGCAGAUUCUUCCCACAAAAACAGCAAAAUUAUAGAAGUUUGGCUGAAAAUGUAGGAGCACAGCGCUGCCUUUAGUUUUACCUGCAACUCCAGUUUAGCUAACGGUUAGCUCUUGAUACUUAGCGUAGCAGCUUAGUGGAAAGCUGUGGAAAGAUGCUAAUGUAGCAGCCAUGCUAAUGUUUAGCCCAUAAAGCCAAACCAUUAGCAUGGCUGUUACAACAGGUGAAUCUUCCAAACUGUGGUAACUUUAUUUUUUUUACUUCCAUGCAGAUAUUAAUAUCCCAACUUAUUGUGUUGGUGUCAUCAAAAGGUUUUAUCUUAACAUGUAUUUUAGCCAAAUUGUUUUUCUCAGAGCUGUUUGUGCCUGCUCUAAAAACAUCAAUGUUUGUUUUUUAUUUUAGACAUUACAUUGUUUUUGCUGUACUGCUAUCAGUGGCUGUUUUCCAAAGGCAAAACUACUUUUGCUUAAAUUAUGGAUUCAUUGAGUAAAACAGAUGCUGGGUGAUUUCUCUGUGUCGAUUAUUGCUGUUAAGGUGUUGCCAUAUCAGUUCAUUCCUGUUUAGUUUCAUAAUUUAUUCUUGUUUUUUGUAUUUGUGGUCGACCAUUUUGUUCAUCUUUAUAAUUGUCUUUGGCAAAGAGGCAAAGGACUUACUGACCUUAAAAUAUUGCACCACAAUUAAAUA